AACGCGAAGAACCUUACCUGGCCUUGACAUGCAUAUAGUAGAAGGAUGAAAGUCUGACGAGGUAGCAAUACCAGUAUGCACAGGUGCUGCAUGGCUGUCGUCAGCUCGUGUCGUGAGAUGUUGGGUUAAGUCCCGCAACGAGCGCAACCCUUAUCGUUAGUUGCCAGCGGGUCAAGCCGGGCACUCUAGCGAAACCGCCCCGGAUAACGGGGAGGAAGGUGGGGAUGACGUCAAGUCCUCAUGGCCUUUAUGUCCAGGGCUACACACGUGCUACAAUGGUCGGUACAAACCGUCGCAAACCUGCGAAGGGGAGCUAAUCGGAAAAAGCCGGCCUCAGUUCGGAUUGGAGUCUGCAACUCGACUCCAUGAAGCUGGAAUCGCUAGUAAUCGCGGAUCAGCACGCCGCGGUGAAUACGUUCCCGGGCCUUGUACACACCGGUAUCUC
rnacentral:rRNA from 1 species